AGUUUUAGUAUUUUACUAUUUUUGAAAAUACUGGGAAGUUAUUAUUAUUAUUAUUAUUGGCCGAGUUCCUAUCGGGUAGAUCCAAUCAAUUUUAGGGAUAUUCCCGCGUAAUGACUGAACGAGCUCAAUUUUCAACCUCGCUUUACGAGAAGCAACUGCAAUCCUCUCCAAAACGAUCGGCUCAAUUCUUUGUUGACGCCCCGGUUCCUAUUUCAGAUCGAAUGUUCAAGUCAUUAUCAAAUCGAAUCACCUAUCUCUAUCUUGUCAUUCCUACUGCUAUCUCAUCGUUGUAAAGGUCAUUAACACUUUAUUUUCAUGGAAAUGACAGCUGCUUGGGAGCAAAAGAUUCAUCUUUCUAUGCGCAUACACACAGGUUUAAAUAUGUUUUAGUGCCUAAACAUCUAUCCUUUUUUCUUUUGUUAUUGCGAUCUCCAAAUUUUUUUAAAUUCUGAUUUUAUUCUUCGAAUCAAUAUUCAUAUUCAUUUCGAUAAUAAUUCAGUUUUAAAAUGUUUGUUGGACUUCAGUUUUCUAUAGAUUUUUUUAUUGAUUAAGUCCCUGUCUUAAAAUUUUACUCUAAUUUAUUGAAAGUAGGUUCUCACACACCAUCAAUUAUCUAUGUAUCAUAACUUGAAAAUAUACCUUUUAGAUAUAUAAGAAUUAUGACUUAGAACUGAAGGCUGUGAGAACUGAAGUUGAAGUUUAAUAUAAAACUUUAAUGUGAGCGGUUAGGCUAUCAAUUUAGAAGCUGGUAUAAGCUAUUAAAGUUGCAAAUCCAUUUUUCUACUUAUUUUAUACUUUUUACAUUUAUCGAAAACAUAGGAUCCAAGUUGUUUGGGACUUGAAUCGCAUGUAUGUGGAGUGGGUUAGAGGUUUGGUGUUCCAACUCUCUAAACCACUCGUUUAUACCAUAAAUAGUAUUUUGUAAUCUCCAAUUAAUUAGCUACAAUUAUCAUCAUUUCGAAAUUAUUUUUAGUACAAUAUUUACUAUUUGCUAUACUAAAA